AACAGCAUGGAUCCUGACCAGACUGCGCGGAUGCGCAGGCUGGUCUGGAUCCAUGCUGGUCGCAAACCCACUAGGUUGGUUUUCCCAUGGCACGGCUCAUUUGCAACUCACGAUUUUAACAAAAAUAAAACUUCCACAUUAUGUUAUCAAAUCAUCAGGAACAUAUUGCUUAGUCCUUCCAAUAUUAUUAACAUUUUUAGCUGCUGCUACAGUUGUUUUAUUAAUAGAUCUACAAAAUUACAUCUCAAAUUUUAGUCUCUGUUAAUAGGUUGUCUUCAGCACAAGAUUUUCUGUGUAUGAAAAUGUUACAUGGCUGCACCAUGAGAAGACCAACUUAGUGGCUUUGCGACCAGCAUGGAUCCAGACCAUUCUGCGCAUCCUCGCAGUCUAGUCAGGAUCCAUGCUGUUCGCUAAUGGUUUCUCUAAUUGCAAUCGGUUUUAAAAGCGAACAGCAUGCAUCCUGACCAGACUGCGCGGAUGCAGUAUUGUAUUCUCACUUCGAAAAUCCCAGUUUGUACUUUAUUCUAUGCUCACUUUUAAAAGUACCAGCUUAUAUGGUAAUGUAUUCUCACUUUUUACUUUAUUCUAUGCUCACUUUUAUAAAUCCCAGUUUAUACAGUAUUGUAUUCCCACUUCAAAAGUCCCAAUUUGUACUUAAUUCUAUGCUCACUCUUAAAAGUCCUAGUUUAUAUGGUAAUGUAUUCCCACUUCAAAAGUCCCAAUUUGUACUUAAUUCUAUGCUCACUCUUAAAAGUCCUAGUUUAUAUGGUAAUGUAUUCCCACUUCAAAAGUCCCAAUUUGUACUUAAUUCUAUGCUCACUCUUAAAAGUCCUAGUUUAUAUGGUAUUGUAUUCUUACUUCAAAAGUCCCUGUUUGUACUUUAUUCUAUGCUCACUUUUAAAAGUCCUAGUUUAUAUGGUAAUGUAUUCUCACUUCAAAAGUCCCAAUUUGUACUUUAUUCUAUGCUCACUCUUAAAAGUACCAGUUUAUAUGGUAAUGUAUUCCCACUUCAAAAGUCCCUGUUUGUACUUAAUUCUAUGCUCACUUUUAAAAGUCCUAGUUUAUAUGGUAAUGUAUUCUCACUUCAAAAGUCCCUGUUUGUACUUCAUUCUAUGCUCACUUUUAAAAGUCUUAGUUUAUAUUGUACUGUAUUCUCACUUCAAAAGUCCCUGUUUGUAUUUUAUUCAGUGCUUACUUCAAAAGUACCUAUUUAUACUGCAGUCUUUGCUCACUCCAAAAGUCCAAGUGUGCACUUGACUUAAUGCUAUAACCUUGUGUACAAUGUAGUUUAACAAGUAAAACUGUAGGUAAACAUAUGCAAUACCCAUAUUAGCUUAAUUGAUUCACUUAUCAUGGAACUAUGUAAUUAAGCAUUGUAUACAGAGAUAUAGUUCAUAUAGUUCAAACAUUUCUUUAUCUAUUAGAAAUUUUCAAAUUUUGAAACAUUUCAUACUAACACACGUGUACUUGAAAACUGAUCUAUGUUAGUUUGGUUCCCUGUAAUCCAACUAAAUAACUUAAAUUGGAUAAGAGGUCCUGACAUGCUAAAGAACCAGGAAAACUUCUGAAAUAGGAACAUCUCCUGUAUCUUGCACUUUACUUAAGCUAAAAUUGAUAGUAAGCACCCUUAUGAGUUAUCAGUUAAAACGUUAAAAGAAAACAAAUGGAAUAACUUUAAGUGUUCAACUAAAUAGUACUGUAAUUUAAGCCACACUUCCUGUGAUCAAGGGGGGUGUGUUGCUUAUGAAAAGAAAUAUACAAGCUUUAUGGAAAAAGUCCCAUUUUUUUUAAGUGCAAGUUCCAGUUUUAACAUCAGUUGCUACCAGUUUUGAUAGUACUGUCUCUGAACUAAAUAAUAGUGGGACUAAUUUCUGUUAACAGUGAAAUAAAUUACAAUGGGACUAUUUCCUCGCAUAGGAUUGAAAAUAUCAAAGUGUUGUGGUUUUAAAAUACAUAAAAAGCAAUAUCUAACAAAGUUGUACUUGGAAAUUAUUUCAUAUGAGCUUGUGAUGAUUUUAUUAGCUCAUGGUGAGCAUUUGUGACCGCUCAAUGUCCGUCGUCCGCCGGUCAACAAUUUCUAACAAGAGUGCCAGGAUGUCACAAUAUACGCCCAUCAUAACAAAUUUCUUUACACUAGCACCUGUAUUUGCAAAUGGAAUUUUAAUUCUGUGGUUGUGUAGUAAUUAUUGUAAUUCUUUUGUUUUUCUAAAUCCACAAAAAAAAACUCCUUACCAGGUAGAGAUACCUUAAAAUACACCUAAAAUUUGAAAGUAACAUCUGUGUUGUACCACAGAAAAGUGGUCUUGGUUUUUCCCUACGGUCAAUUAUAAAAAGGUUACAAUAUAAGUUAUUCAUAGUAACAACUAAGGGAAGUGAAUCUUAAAAAAAAAUAAUUUCUAAGUCCACACAAAAAUCCUCACCAGGGAGAGAUAGGUCAAAAUACACCUCAAAAUUGGAUAUAACAUGCAUGUUGUACUACAGAAAAGUGGUCUCGAUUUUUCCCAACGACUAGUAAUGAAAAAGUUACAAUAUAAGCUAUUUAUAGUAACAACAAAGGAAAGUAAUUCUAAAGAAGGGACCUGCGCAUGACACUCCGUCUCAUGAUGGUGUACAAUUGUGCCAAGUUACAUCAAAAUCCCUCCAUGCAUGAAGAAGAAAUGCUCUGGACAAAGUCAUUAUUGCAUCUGACCUUUGGCCUCUUAAGUGUGACCUUGACCUUAGACCUAGGGACCUGGUUCUUGUGCAUGACACUCCGUCUCAUGAUGGUGAAUAUUUGUGCCAAGUUAUAUCAAAAUCCCUCUAUGCAUGAAGAAGAAAUGCUCCGGACAAAGUUUCCUUCUUGUAUCCUUUGACCUCUAAGUGUAACCUUGACCUUAGACCUAGGGACCUGGUUCUUGCGCAUGACACUCUGUCUCAAGAUGGUGAACAGUUGUGCAAGUUACAUAAAAAUCCUUCCAAGCAUGAAGAAGAAAUGCUCCGGACAAAGUUUUCAUUCUUGUAUCCUUUGACCUCUAAGUGUGACCUUGACCUUAGACCUAGGGACCUGGUUCUUGCACAUGAAACUCCGUCUCAUGAUGGUAAACAAUUGUGCCAAGUUUCAUCCCUCCAUGCAUGAAGAAAAUAUGCUUUGGACAAAGUCAUUCUUGAAUUUGACCUUUGACCUCUAAGUGUGACCUUGACCUUAGACCUAGGGACCUGGUUCUUGUGCGUGACACUCCGUCUCAUGAUGGUGAACAACUGUGCCAAGUUUCAUCAAAAUCCCUCCAUGUAUGAAGAAGAUAUGCUCUGGACAAAGUCUGUGGACGCCGCCGGCCCAACGGGCGUUCCCAUAAUAUGGGCAUAUAAAAAACUCUUCCUCAAAACCUCUGGGCAGAUUUACACCAAACUUAUCAGGAAUGAUCCUUAGGUGACCCCCUUUCAAAAUUUUUAAGAAUUGAAUUUCUCACAGAACUGGUUGCUAUGGCAACCGAAAGGAAAACUUUAAAAAUCUUCUUUUCCAAAACCACUAGGCAUAGAGCCUGGAUAUUUGGCAUGUGACAUGAUCUAAUGGUCCUCUCUGAAGACUGUUCAAAUUAUGCCCCUUGGUUGAAAAGAGGCCCUGCCCCUGGGUCUCAAGUUUUACAUCUACUUAUAUAAAAACAAAUUUAAAAAUCUUCUUGUAUGAAACCACAAGACCUUUGCCUUUGAUAUUUGGUAUGUAGCAUUGCCUUUUAGUCCUCUACCAAGAUGGUUCAGUUUAUUACCCUAGGGUGAAAGGAGGCCCCACACCAGGGGUCCCAAUUUUUACACAGACUUUUAUAGGAAACAAUUUUAAAAAUAUUCUUAUCUGAAACUGCAAGGCAUAGGCUUUUUAUAUUUUAUAUGUUGCAUUGCUUAGUUGUCCGAGACCAUUUAAGAUUAUUCAAAUUGUGCCCCCGAGGUGAAAAGAGGUACCACCCAGGCGGUCCCAAGUUUUAAAUAGACUUGUAUAGGAAAGAAAUUUAAAAAUCUUGUCUGAAAGUUCAAAGCCAAGGCCUUUGAUAUUUGGUAUGUAGCAUUGCCUAGUGGUUCUCUAAAGAUUGUUAAAAUUAUGCCCCUGGGGUGAAAAGAGGCCCCACCCCAGGAGUUAUAUAGGAAAAAAUACUUCAAAAAUUAUCUGAUCAUUUCCUAGACUGUUUAUUUAUGAUUACCUGAUGACCCCAAAUAAUUAGGGGUCACUUGACUGUGAGCUUUCCUGACUGACCUACUUUCUUGUUUUUGACCAUGAAUGUCACAGACCAACUGACCUACUUUCCUAACGUUUUAGCUUGUGUGUAUAUAUAUAUAUAUAUAUAUAUAUAUAUAUAUAUAUAUAUAUAUAUGUAGCUCAUAUUACUUAGGUGAGCAAUCCAGUGUCAUCAUGACCCUCUUGUUUGCUAUCUUGCCAUUUUUAAUUAGUUAUUUCUUAAUUAUACUUUGAAAGUUUGAAUGACUUGUUUAAUUCAGAACUUAAUGUAUUUGAUGUACACUUUACUAGAAAAGAACUUUUUGAUUCAUUCAAAGCAAUAAUAAAUGCAAGGAAAAGAAAUUGACUGAUUUGCGAUUUUGCUGUGUAUAAUGUACAAAAAAUAAACAUGAUGUGAAGUUUAAAUGUUCCGUCAUCUCACCAAUUUUUUUACACCAGUAUUGUCUGUAGGUACUGGCAAUCAUAAAUCUUCUUUGUAUUUCCAUAAAUUAAUUUUCAUUGUCCAAACCUAAGUAGCUAUAUAACUAUUGCAGAACUGUUGCAGAAGCUCCAUGUGGUUCUGGGACGAUCUGUGUAUGAAAAGAAUUGGAACCACUGCCUUACCCUUGCAUGAUUAUAAGAGGCGACUGAUAGGGUCUUAACACUUAGUUUUGCAGUAACUCUGUGAUUCCAGCAGGUAUGCAAAUUUUGAUUCCAUACCUCAUGUUUUUAUUUCGAUGUAAAUGAGAUGUGGAACCAAAAUUUGUAGUCCUGUUUGGCGCCAUAUAACCUUUACUGUGUUGGUAGAUAAAUAGAUAAAUAAACUAUUGCAGAAUGAUAAUUAUUAUAUUUCUUAACUGAUGUGUGCAUGUAGCUGUGGGAACAAAACGUUCAGCAGCUAAUCUGGUUGUGAGUUUGAGUCCUAAAUUGUCUGACCAUUUUUUCCCCAAAAUUUUAUCUAGAAACUUAACAGGCAGGAAAAUUGCAACAACGAUCGUAUCAAACUUAUCUGAAAUUUUAAUGGUUCAUUUAAUGAAAGAAAUACAGUUUUAUUUAAGUUAACCAGAAAAUGUCAAAUUUAAAAUCUUUUCAGAGUGUCUUUGAUUAAACAAGAAAUGAAGAUAAGUGAGUGACUGGUCAAUACUUAUGGACAUUAAUAGGUACAUAAGGUCAUCCAGGGUUCAACAAAUGGAAUGAUAUAACAUCAUCAGUGGAAUGGAACACACGUUUUACCUGUCAGUCAAAGGACAAGGGUAGCAGAUGUAGGCAUUUAAUUACCGAGUCUGUUGCUGAUCACUUACUGACAUUCUAAUGAAUUAAUUCAUGCUUACAUUUCAAUACACUCUGUUAUGUCAAACUUAAUUUCCUUAGAAAGUCAGUGAAUGAUUAUGAUUGACCAGCUUACAAAUUAAGUUAUUGAAUUUGUUUCACUGUGACCCGAAUACACAAAACUUAUUAAUAAAUUAUCAAUUAUAACCUAUGCACGGGAGUCGGAAGUUUUAAAAUUCUAUGUUUAGAUAGUUAAAAUAAGCAUUUAGGUGACUGAUAAAUUUACCAAGGUGAAAGGUGUGGCCAAUGUCGAGAGAAAACAGCAAAGAAUGUUUCUAUCUAUAAAUUAUUUGUGUUUAUUCUAUCUUUUUAAUACAAGAUAUUGCAUCAUACUAUCUCAUUUUACAUUAUUUGAUAGAAAUAUACCUUUUUAUAUGGUGAUAUAUCCAGAUUUUAUUUUUUAAUUUACAAGAUUUUUAUGCUACAACCAUAAUUGAGCCACGCCAUGAGAAAACCAACAUAGUGCGUUUGCGACCAGCAUGGAUACAGACCAGCCUGCGCAUCUGUGCAGGCUGGUCUGGAUCCAUGCUGGCCGCAAAGCCACUAUGUUGGUUUUCUCAUGGCACGGCUCAUAUGCAGUUCAGUGCGAUCUCUGAUGUUCAGUCUUCAGAGGUGUCAUUAACAGAAGUUAUACGAUGUUUGAUAAAAUGGCAUUGUUGAAAUAUAGAUCUAUUUGUUAACAUUAAGUAUUCGGAGUUGUUAAAAUCUCAUUUGUAUUGUUUAUUAGUAAUGAAAAUAAUAGUAAUUUACAUUAUAGUAAUAUACAUGUGGUUUUCAGUUUAACUGAGCAUAAAAUGCUCAAGGUGAGCUAUUGUCAUUGCACUGUGUCCGUCAUACAUCUUUAUAAAUUUUACUGUUUAAACUUGUUGUUAAAAAAAGACAUGGUAAAGUUUUGGAUGUGUAAGAUACUGGGGGAAAAAAUAGGUCAGUAUGUCAGAUGAUAGAAAAAAACCUUGACACACACACAAGGCCACUUUUUAUCAGAUCUUCAUGAAACAUGUUCAGCAUAAUUUUUCUGUUUGAAACUUUUAUCUUUAGUCUAAAACUAGACCACCUCAGAUCAAAUAAUAGAAAAACCUUGUAAAUACUCCAUAUGUCACAUUUUCUACCUGAUCUUCAUGAAAUGCUGUUUUUAAAAGCUAGGACAAUUCAAAGAACUAGAAAUACAUUCUGCAGGCCAACAGGCAGAAUGUCGAGCCCACCAGCACCUUUGGCCUCUAAGUGUGACCUUGAUCCUAGACCGAGGGACCUGGUUCUUGUGUAUGGCAUUCCUUCUCAUAAUGGUGAACAUUCAUGCAAAGUUAUAUCAAAAUCCCACCAUGCAUGAAGAAAUGCUCUGGACAAACUUCAGUUUGACCUUUGAGAUAGAAACACUGGGUUUGCGCAUGACACUUCUUCUCAUUGAGGUCAACAUCCAUGCCAAAUAUAAACAUGAUUUGUCUAUGCAUGUCAAAGUUAUGGUCCAGACAAAGUCGGACGGACGCAUGGACUCACAAAAGCACAUACACCGACCCACCAAAAGUGACAUCAUAUUGAGCUGUUCGCAAGCGGGCUCAACAAAAAUAGUGUUAACAUGCUUGAGUUCACAUUUUCUUUCUGAUCUUAAUGAAACAUUUUAUAAUCUAUCUCAUUUUAGGGAAUCUUGUUAACAAACUAGAGGCUAAAUCCAAAACUAGGUUACUAGGUCAGAUAAUAGAAAAUCUUUGUUUACCUUGUAAUCACUCCAGUGACAACAUUUUCCACCUGUUCUGUAUGCAACCAUUUCAGGAAGUUUUUUUUAUGAAACCUUGGUUAGUUGAAAUUCAGUCAUUUAAAGUCAAGAACUAGAUCAGUAGGUCAAAUCAGAGCCAGAGGUCACAUUUUCUUCCUGAUCUUUAUGAGACUUUUUCAGAAUUUUUGUCUUCAUGAUAUCUAGUUUAAGUUUGAAACUGGAUCAUCUAAGAUUAAAAAAAACUAGGCCAGGUGAGUGAUAUAGGGCUUUUAUGUCUCUCUUGUUUAUGUUAUUGAUGUAUACAGAAACUGUUUAUGUAGAAUAGGUUGUAUGCAUUUUUAAGGUCUGCCUAUACAAUGGAUUAUUUUUCCUUUUGAAGUUGCUUUCCACUUGUGUUACAUUUUGUGAGAGGAGAUAUUUACAUUAUCAUGUUAUAUUAUUAUUUUACGUAAUCUGGAAGUAUUAUAUAUUGCUUUUUACCAGAAUACUGGUAUUAUAUACAGGAGCUUUUUUAUUGAUAUACAGUAUGUGUACACUGUUUUUCUGUGAAAAUUAUGUUGCUUUAUAAAUGAAGGUUUUGACAC